UUAUUGGGCGUAAAGCGCGCGUAGGGCGGUCUCUUAAGUCUGAUGUGAAAGCCCCCCGGCUCAACCGGGGAGGGUCAUUGGAAACUGGGAGACUUGAGUGCAGAAGAGGAGAGUGGAAUUCCAUGUGUAGCGGUGAAAUGCGCAGAGAUAUGGAGGAACACCAGUGGCGAAGGCGGCUCUCUGGUCUGUAACUGACGCUGAGGUGCGAAAGCGUGGGGAUCAAACAGGAUUAGAUACCCUGGUAGUCCACGCCGUAAACGAUGAGUGCUAAGUGUUGGGGGGUUUCCGCCCCUCAGUGCUGCAGCUAACGCAUUAAGCACUCCGCCUGGGGAGUACGGUCGCAAGACUGAAACUCAAAGGAAUUGACGGGGACCCGCACAAGCGGUGGAGCAUGUGAUUUAAUUCGAAGCAACGCGAAGAACCUUACCAAAUCUUGACAUCCUUUGACAACUCUAGAGAUAGAGCUUUCCCCUUCGGGGGACAAAGUGACAGGCGGUGCAUGGUUGUCGCCAGCUCGUGUCGUGAGAUGUUGGGUUAAGUCCCGCAACGAGCGCAACCCUUAUCUUUAGUUGCCAUCAUUAAGUUGGGCACUCUAGAGAGACUGCCGGUGACAAACCGGAGGAAGGUGGGGAUGACGUCAAAUCAUCAUGCCCCUUAUGAUUUGGGCUACACACGUGCUACAAUGGAUGGUACAAAGGGCAGCAAAACCGCGAGGUCAAGCAAAUCCCAUAAAACCAUUCUCAGUUCGGAUUGUAGUCCGCAACUCGACUACAUGAAGCUGGAAUCGCUAGUAAUCGUAGAUCAGCAUGCUACGGUGAAUACGUUCCCGGGUCUUGUACACACCGCCCGUG
rnacentral:rRNA from 1 species